rnacentral:rRNA from 1 species
CCUACGGGUGGCAGCAGUAGGGAAUAUUGCUCAAUGGGGGAAACCCUGAAGCAGCAACGCCGCGUGGAGGAUGGAGGUUUUCGGAUUGUAAACUCCUUUUGGUAGGGAAGAUAAUUACGGUAUCUAACGAAUCAUGCCCGGCUAACUCCGGUCCAGCCGCCGCGGGAAGACGGAGGGGGCGAGCGUUCCUCGGAAUCACUGGGUGUAAAGAGCGCGGAGGGGGGAUAGCAAGUCAGAUGUGAAAUCCUAUGGCUUAACCAUAGAACUGCAUUUGAAACUGGUAUUCUAGAGUAUGGGAGAGGUAGGUGGAAUUCUUGGUGUAGGGGUAAAAUCCGUAGAGAUCAAGAGGAAUACUCAUUGCGAAGGCGACCUGCUAGAACAUAACUGACGCUGAUGCGCGAAAGCGUGGGGAGCAAACAGGAUUAGAUACCCCUGUAGUC